AUACGGAGGGUGCAAGCGUUAGUCGGAAUUACUGGGCGUAAAGCGUACGUAGGCGGUUAUUUAAGUCAGAUGUGAAAGCCCCGGGCUUAACUUGGGAACUGCAUUUGAAACUGGGUAACUAGAGUUUAGUAGAGGGGAGUGGAAUUUCAGGUGUAGCGGUGAAAUGCGUAGAGAUCUGAAGGAACACCAGUGGCGAAGGCGACUCCCUGGACUAAAACUGACGCUGAGGUACGAAAGCGUGGGUAGCAAACAGGAUUAGAAACCCCGGUAGUCC
rnacentral:rRNA from 1 species